UUUCUUCCAAGCAAAUAGUGUCGAAAUUGCUGUAUAAAUGUGACAACUGCAAGUAAUUCUCGUCUUGUGACACUAUACCUCUGUUGUACCCUGUCUAGUUUCUUUGAUGCAUAAGAUAUAACCUUUUCUUUGUUUUCUUGGAUUUGAGACAGCACAGCGCCAAUACCUAUAUUAGAUGCAUCUGUGUCCAAUAUAAACAUUCCGUCUGAUUGUGGGUAUGCCAAUAUUGGUGAUGUUGUCAGUGCGAUUUUUAAUUUUUCAAAAGAUUCUUGACAGGGCUGUGUCCAUUCAAAAGGUACAUCUUUUCUGGUAAGCUGACUGAGUGGAGCUGCAAUGUCACUAAAUUUGUAUAUAUACUGCCUGUAAUAAUUACAUAGACCAAGGAAUUGUUGUAUUUCUUUUGCUGUUGAUGGGGCUUUCCAGCUAUCUACAGACUGUACUAUCUUUGGAUUUGGCUUAAUUCCCUCUUUACCUACAACAUGCCCUAGGUAUAGUAUUUCUUCUCUUAAUAGAUCACAUUUAGAUGGUUUAAGCUUUAAUCCUGCAUUUAUAAGUCUUGAAAAAACUUCAUCUAGUCUUUUAAGAUGUUCUUCUUCAUCAGAACUAAAAAUUAUAAUAUCAUCGAGAUAUAUCAGGAGUGUUUGCCAUUGAAGUCCUCUAAAUAUCAACUCCAUGCAUCUCUGGAAAGUGCUAGGGGCAUUGCAGAGUCCAAAAGGCAUCUUUGUAUACUCAUACAGACCAUACUUGGUAAUAAAUGCUGUCUUUGGUUGAUCUGAUUCUU
rnacentral:lncRNA from 1 species